rnacentral:tRNA from 6 species
GGGUCUGUAGUAUACUGGUAUUAUGUUGGCCUCCAGAGCCGAAGAAGGGAGUUCGAUUCUCCCCAGGCCCA